rnacentral:rRNA from 1 species
GAUAAACGCUGGCGGCGUGCAUGAGACAUGCAAGUCGAACGGGUGGCUCGAGCUUGCUCGAGUCGCUAGUGGCGGACGGCUGAGUAACGCGUGGGCGACCUGUCCCGAAGUGGGGAAUACUGCCCGAAAGGGUGGCUAAUACCGCAUGUGGUCGUACGUUCGAUCGUACGAGUAAAGCCGUAAGGCGCUUCGGGAGGGGCCUGCGUCCGAUUAGCUCGUUGGUGGGGGUAACGGCUCACCAAGGCGACGAUCGGUAGGUGGUCUGAGAGGACGAUCACCCCAGACUGGGACUGAGACACGGCCCAGACUCCUACGGGAGGCAGCAGUCGGGAAUUUUGCUCAAUGGGCGCAAGCCUGAAGCAGCAACGCCGCGUGAGGGAUGACGGCCUUCGGGUUGUAAACCUCUUUUCUCAGGGACGAUGAUGACGGUACCUGAGGAAUAAGCCACGGCUAACUACGUGCCAGCAGCCGCGGUAAUACGUAGGUGGCAAGCGUUGUCCGGAUUUACUGGGCGUAAAGAGCGCGCAGGCGGUCGGAUAAGUCGAAUGUGAAAGCCCCCGGCUCAACUGGGGAGGGUCAUUCGAUACUGUUCGACUCGAAGGCAGGAGAGGGAAGCGGAAUUCCCGGUGUAGUGGUGAAAUGCGUAGAUAUCGGGAGGAACACCAGUGGCGAAGGCGGCUUUCUGGCCUGUUCUUGACGCUGAGGCGCGAAAGCCAGGGGAGCAAACGGGAUUAGAUACCCCGGUAGUCCUGGCUGUAAACGAUGGACACUAGGUGUUGGUGGUAUCAACCCCGCCAGUGCCGUAGCUAACGCAUUAAGUGUCCCGCCUGGGGAGUACGGCCGCAAGGCUAAA